UACGAAGGGGGCUAGCGUUGUUCGGAAUUACUGGGCGUAAAGCGCACGUAGGCGGCUCGAUCAGUCAGGGGUGAAAUCCCAGAGCCCAACUCUGGAACUGCCUUUGAUACUGUCGAUCUAGAGUAUGGAAGAGGUGAGUGGAAUUCCGAGUGUAGAGGUGAAAUUCGUAGAUAUUCGGAGGAACACCAGUGGCGAAGGCGGCUCACUGGUCCAUUACUGACGCUGAGGUGCGAAAGCGUGGGGAGCAAACAGG
rnacentral:rRNA from 1 species